UGGGGAAUAUUGCACAAUGGGCGCAAGCCUGAUGCAGCCAUGCCGCGUGUGUGAAGAAGGCCUUAGGGUUGUAAAGCACUUUCAGCGAGGAGGAAGGCAUCAUACUUAAUACGUGUGGUGAUUGACGUUACUCGCAGAAGAAGCACCGGCUAACUCCGUGCCAGCAGCCGCGGUAAUACGGAGGGUGCAAGCGUUAAUCGGAAUUACUGGGCGUAAAGCGCACGCAGGCGGUUUGUUAAGUCAGAUGUGAAAUCCCCGCGCUUAACGUGGGAACUGCAUUUGAAACUGGCAAGCCAGAGUCUUGUAGAGGGGGGUAGAAUUCCAGGUGUAGCGGUGAAAUGCGUAGAGAUCUGGAGGAAUACCGGUGGCGAAGGCGGCCCCCUGGACAAAGACUGACGCUCAGGUGCGAAAGCGUGGGGA
rnacentral:rRNA from 1 species